AAGAAAUGCCAUAUUACUUUAAUCUCUUCCAGGAAAGGUGUCAAUAUUUCAGUGACUGUGUUAGGUCUAUAAACGUACUUCAUGUUUUAAGAUUCUGCUAACUGUACAUUACUGAGACCAGACAGAAAUGAUAUGAUUGUCUGAAAAUAAGGGACAAACAUUGAAAACGUCGUAGAUUUUCAGUUUUGUACAAUAUGCAUUAAAUUUUAUGCAAUUCAUCCUGUUUUAUUUAUUUUUGUUCUUGUCCUUUCUCCGACGUUUAACCUAAAUAGCAUAGAAUAAAGUGUAUAUAAAAAACUCCAUGAUACAUAAGACUUCGUUUAGUCGGCCUAAACCAUCAGAAAUAAUGACGCUUUUAAAAACCAGGAAUAACUGCAUUUUCAUGACAUUGCAAUGCUCUGAAUUUUGACAGUCUAUUUUUUAUAAAUAUUUUGAGAAACUGCCUAAAAUUUGCCUUUUAUUCGCGUAAAAGUAAGCUGAAAAUGUUAAAUUAAUAGCUACCAUAUAAACAAAUAGAAAUCUAUAUCUACUACUACCUUGAAAAUAUGAAGUAUUAUUUUUUUAAAGAAAGGAAAGGACGUGGUCUAAAAUGAAAGGCCAAAUAAAUAACAUAGCAUUUACUUGCUUGUACAUCGAAAGGCCAUCAACCUAUGUAUGUAUAAGCGCACAGAUAGAAAAACGAGUUACUUCCCAGUUUUGGUCACACAGUUUAACACAGCAUUCGUGAAAAAAACAUUGACACGUUACAUGUAUUUCUAAAAUAGCGAAAUUAGAUAUCGAUUCUUAUUUUUGCGAGUGUAAAUAUUAGUAAACAUUGUAUAAACCCUGAAUAUAACUUGGUCUAAAUUGAGUUAGAUCGAUAAAGCAUUAUCAUUUCACAAAAUAUACAAAGUAUACUAUACUUCAUUUAGACCAGUCUGGUCUUAUAUCGAACGGAAUUUUGAACUUAACAUGUCACUUUUUUCCAAUAAUACCCUUUGCCUGGGAUCAACAGUAUAAAUGAAACGUACUGACUAAUGCCUCAGUCAAUUAUCGCGCAGGUGGAACAUAUGACUAUACUUCAAAGUAAUUGCACUUAGUCUAACUUCUACGGGAAAGCUGGAAUCUGCUGAUUUUGCUGUAGUACCAGUGAAGAGCACAAAGAAAAAUGCACUUCAACUUGUUAUUAACUACACCGUGGUAUGGUCGUACAGUCUCAAUUUGUUUCAAGCAGAUAGCUAUAUCAUUAGUUUAUGUUAAAUUCUAUUUCCUUAUGUGUUAAUGCCACCGAUAGUAUUUAGAUCAUAUGACGACUUUUCAACUUUAAACACAAGGUGCCAAUUUGGACAUGAUGUCUGGUCGUCGUCAGCUUGAUAGUUUUUAUAUGAGCGAAGAAUAGUAAACUCACAAAGGUAGUAAUUUAGUGAUUCGAUGUAAAUAAUCUCAACCACACGGCAACGGAGACCCCAUGUUACAUUCCUCUCAUCUAAUUGAAUUAAAAACACAUUGUUACUUUUUAUUCACAUUUUGUCACACAUUACAUUAAACUGAAUUUAAUCGCACCCAACGUAUCAUUAAAAAAACAAAACAUUACAUAUUUUAGCUUUUCCUACAGUUACAAGGAAGAAUACCUGAUGAUACGAGCAGCUUUAAAAGCAUGUGCAUCUGCAACUGGAGCUGCAAAGGGAUAAGUUAUGAUUGUAAAACCAAUGAAUAAGAUUAUUAAAUAUCUACUCUUUCUCUUCCACGCAUGAGGUAGCAUCAGCCACACUGCAAAGAACUUAUGUUAUGCUGUUAAGAAAUAGUGCACUAUUAAAUCUUAAUGUGAAGAUGAUAACGUUGUCCUCCUGAAACUAGCUGCAAUAUUCAAAACUGAUACAAUCACACGUGAUACUGGAAUAGAAAUAUCAGCUAUUAGUGUAUUCCUACAUUGUAUGACAAUGACAAACAUUUUCAAUAUUUGGCAUAUCAGAAUUCCGUUGUUUCCGUUUUCUGUGGCAUAUAUGAUUGUAUUGAGAAAAAAAUGCAUAACUUUGACAUGAUGAAUGUUAUGACGUGUUUGUUAGAAACUAGUGCUUAAUCAUGUUCACUACAGUUAUGUAUAUUUUAAAUAAAUAGCGAAAGAAUGUU
rnacentral:lncRNA from 1 species